CGCGUAGGCGGCUUGGCAAGUCAGGUGUGAAAGCCCUCGGCUUAACCGAGGAAUUGCUCUUGAAACUGCCUAGCUAGAGUACGGGAGAGGGAAGCGGAAUUCCCAGUGUAGAGGUGAAAUUCGUAGAUAUUGGGAGGAACACCAGCGGCGAAGGCGGCUUCCUGGACCGAUACUGACGCUGAGGUGCGAAAGCGUGGGGAGCAAACA
rnacentral:rRNA from 1 species